rnacentral:lncRNA from 1 species
UCCUCACGACCCUUAGUGUGUAUUAGGGAUGCCUGGCAAAUGGGGCAAUUAUCCUGGAGGAUGGCCUACCCAUCUCCCUGAAGGCUAAGGCGUUAUCCCUCUGGGCACAGGGACUGCGGCGGCUGGAGCUCUUUCUGGCCAGGAUCCAAAGGAGCCAAUGAAAGGCCGCCCAGUCUUCGAUGUUUUACAGUCUCUGCGGGCACAAAGCUCAGCUGAAAUUGUUAGUGUUGAUUUCACUGUGAGGAUGACUAAAACGGCUGCAAAGUUCAGAGCAUCUCUCCCCUGCUUGAAGUGCUGCCAAGAUACCUGGGAAGACUUUAGUGGACAGUUGCUUCAAGGGAAACUGAAACAAUACUCCAAAUGAGAAGGCCAUCAAGCUGUGGAGCUGAUAGUAACAGAGGCUGCUAGAGGUCUGGGAGCAACUCAACUUCUUUGCAGCUCCCCAUUUGCACCAUGGAGAAUUUCAGCCCUUGUUUGCAAUUUUAACAUUGAGGAAAUCUGGAACAAUAAAUGGUAUAUUCUCCUGGGUUUGUGUUCUCA